rfam:Pseudomonas chlororaphis subsp. aureofaciens 30-84 chromosome, whole genome shotgun sequence.
UUGGUUAGAAAUCAACUCAGGUUGGCGCCGCAAUGACGCCAACGCCACGCUCGCGACGCCGGCAGCGAGCACCAACGGCAGAAGCAUUCUGCCCGGCCUCAAACGAGGCCGACGGGACAUAAGACAGUCAAC